rnacentral:rRNA from 1 species
AGCGGCGGACGGGUGAGUAACACGUGAGAAUCUGCCCAUUAGUGGGGGAUAACCUGGGGAAACCCAGGCUAAUACCGCAUAAUCCCUACGGGGGAAAGCAGGGGACCUUCGGGCCUUGUGCUGAUGGAUGAGCUCGCGUCGGAUUAGCUUGUUGGUGAGGUAAUGGCUCACCAAGGCGACGAUCCGUAGCUGGUCUUAGAGGAUGAUCAGCCACACCGGGACUGAGACACGGCCCGGACUCCUACGGGAGGCAGCAGUGGGGAAUCUUGGACAAUGGGGGCAACCCUGAUCCAGCCAUGCCGCGUGUGUGAAGAAGGCCUUCGGGUUGCAAAGCACUUUCAGUAGGGAGGAAGGCUUAUCCUUAAUACGGAUGAGUACUUGACGUUACCUACAGAAGAAGCACCGGCUAAUUUCGUGCCAGCAGCCGCGGUAAUACGAAAGGUGCAAGCGUUAAUCGGAAUUACUGGGCGUAAAGCGCGCGUAGGCGGUUUGCUAAGUCAGAUGUGAAAGCCCCGGGCUCAACCUGGGAACUGCAUUUGAAACUGGCAGGCUAGAAUGCAGUAGAGGGAGGUGGAAUUUCCGGUGUAGCGGUGAAAUGCGUAGAGAUCGGAAGGAACACCAGUGGCGAAGGCGGCCUCCUGGACUGACAUUGACGCUGAGGUGCGAAAGCGUGGGGAGCAAAC